AUUGAACGCUGGCGGCAGGCCUAACACAUGCAAGUCGAACGAGUGGCGGACGGGUGAGUAAUGUCUGGGAAACUGCCUGAGGGAGGGGGAUAACUACUGGAAACGGUAGCUAAUACCGCAUACCAUCGGAUGUGCCCAGAUGGGAUUAGCUAGUAGGUGGGGUAAAGGCUCACCUAGGCGACGAUCCCUAGCUGGUCUGAGAGGAUGACCACACAACCUGGAACUGAGAAACGGUCCAGACUCCUACGUGAGGCAGCAGUGGGGAAUAUUGCUCAAUGGGCGCAAGCCUGAUGCAGCCAUGCCGCGUGUAUGAAGAAGGCCUUCGGGUUGUAAAGUACUUUCAGCUGGGAGGCGUUACCCGCAGAAGAAGCACCGGCUAACUCCGUGCCAGCAGCCGCGGUAAUUC
rnacentral:rRNA from 1 species